GGUAGGAGAGGUCCUACAUUGAACACUGGAAUGCAGGUUCUUUGUUAUUCCGUUCAAUCAUAAGAAAGCCAUAUUUCCCCCCGGUAUUCAGUCAGAUGGGUGUAAAUCUAUACUAUCCAUAUGCAAAAAAUAAUUUAUCAAAAUGCGGUUAUUUGUUUUAGGGGGAGAAAUGCCAAACAAUUGAGAACUACAUGUCCCAUGGUGUGUUGGUUAAUUUUUCCUGCACGCCGCCUCUCCCUCUGCCUGCGUGUUCCAAAGGAGGCUGUCAGGCUGAGUUCAGGGAAAACACAGAGUUUCCUAUCUGUCAAUCAUAAUUAGCAACCACAGGGAGUGAAACUGGGAGGAAGGUCGGUGAAACGCUACGUUUUUGGGUGAAAAGGCAUUGUACUUCCCGUGAAACAAUUAUGCUUCGGAAAGGAGAGGGAAAUAAGUAUCCUAGUGUGCUUAAAAAUAUUUGAUCUACUUUGGAAGGAAUUGCAUAAAAGCGCGUUCACUGAAAGCCAAACUCGGCGAGUUUCACUUGCAAGCAACUAUUCUGCUUGGAGUACGAAACAUAUCCAGAAGAAGGUAACCACGGACGCACGACACGUUGGGAUUUAAUUUGGCUAUUUAACACACUUCUUGACAAAAGUGGUUGACACAUUUCAGAGGACUGUCUUAAAGUCGCUGUUGGUGACUCGCAGCGCAGACUAGGAGGUUCACUCAAAACAAUCUCGGCCCAAACAUCCAGACGGCGAGGAAGAAAGGAGGAAAGAUGAGCGGGGGAGAUGUGGUGUGCUCGGGCUGGUUAAGAAAAUCUCCUCCAGAAAAAAAGUUGAGACGUUACGCAUGGAAGAAGCGGUGGUUUGUUCUCCGCAGCGGCCGUCUCUCGGGCGACCCAGACGUGCUGGAGUACUACAAGAAUGAUCACGCCAAGAAGCCUAUCCGCGUGAUCGACCUCAACCUGUGUGAACAGGUGGACGCAGGGCUCACGUUCAACAAGAAGGACCUGGAGCACAGCUUCAUCUUCGACAUCAAGACCAUCGACCGCGUCUUCUACCUGGUGGCCGACACGGAGGACGACAUGAACAAGUGGGUCCGCUACAUCUGUGACAUCUGCGGCUUCAACCCCACGGACGACGAAGCGGCAAAGGCUGCCCACCAGGCGGCCAGCGGUGGCUCUGUGGUGGACACGGCCCCUCACCCUGGCCUGGGGGGUCCUCCGGCCAUGCUGACCAACGUGCCUCCUCCCUACCAACCGGUCAGCGUGCGCCACCUGGACUCUGAGUCCAGCCUGGACGAACCCCAGGACUACCUGUGGCUGGUCAACUGUGAGAGCAAGAAGCCAGAGCCCAACAGAGCCCACGCCGAGUGUUCCAAGUCAACCUCGUCAGAGACGGACCUGAACGACAACGUCCCCGCCCACCGCACGCCAACCUCCACUAGCUCCUCCUCUAAGCACGCCAACGGCUUCUUCUCCUCUGUCCUGCCCCCUCACCCCUCCUCCGCCUCCUCCAUCUAUGACUCUCCUCCUUCCCGCGGAGGCGACCUCUCUUCCAGCCUCUACCACCUCCCCCGCUCCUACUCCCAGGACACUGUGCUCCUUCCCAAGUCAGCCUCCGCCUCCUCGCCCCCCGUCCCGGUCGACGGCGACGCCCCGGAGCUUUAUGUCUUCAACACGCCCUCGCGGAAGCCCUCCAUGGAGACUCAGAUGAGGAACCUGUCGGUUAGCUACGAUAUUCCUCCCACACCAGGCAGUAACUGUACCUAUCAGGUGCCUCGAGGUCCAGCGAGUGGUGGGUCUGAGGGUGGGGAUGGGAUGCCUCCGCCCCGGCCCCCCAAGCCUUCCCUCAGCUCCCUGACCCCGGGGUACCCGCCGCCCCCCGCGGAGCGCUCGCCCACGGACACAUAUUGCGUGCCGCGCUCCAUGUCGGAGACGGAUGGGAACUACUGCGUGCCCACCAGCGCCGGGAACAAGGCCCUGAGGAGCAACACCAUCGGCACCAUGGACUCAUCACGCCUCAGGAAAGAUUUGGGCUCCCAGGACUGUUACGAUAUCCCUCGGACGUUUCCCUCUGACAAGAGCUGCUCGUUUGACUUCAACGAAAGCUUCAACAGCUACUUGAAAAACAAAGGCAUGAUGCCAGUGGGCAGCCAGUCCAUGGAGGAAGUUGACCAGAACUACGUACCCAUGAGCUCCAACUCCCCGUCCCACCACCGCUCCGGCAGCCUGUCGGGCUGUGAACCCAUCAUGGAACCCAACUAUGUCCCCAUGACCCCGGGCCCGGGCACCUUAGAGUUCUCCCUGGGCAAGCAGGUUCCCCCGCCGGCCCACAUGGGGUUUCGCUCAAGCCCCAAUACCCCACCCCGCAGGCCCAUGCUCAUCAGCGAUUGUCAGCCCCCGCCUGUGGACCGCAACCUCAAACCGGACCGCAAAGGUCAGAGUCCUAAAAUAAUAAGAGCAAAGGGGGUUGGUUUAGAGCGAACCGACUCUCAGACCGUAGGGGAGUUCCCAAGACGACGCAAGGCCAAGCCCGCCCCUUUGGAGAUCAAGCCCCUACCUGAGUGGGAGGAGUCAUCGGCACCCGUCCGCUCGCCUGUCACCAGGUCUUUUGCUCGGGAUCCCUCCAGGUUCCCCAUGCCCCCCAGGCCUCCCUCGGUGCAUAGCACCGCCUCCAGCACCGACUCCGAGGACUGUGAUGAGAAUUAUGUAGCCAUGGUCUCUAAGGCAGACGAACUCGUAUGUAACACACGUCCUCAACUACUCUCUUCUAAAAUAUUAAUGUUAAAUCAUACAGUGAUUUAUGUACAUUUUACAAAAAAACAACUUGUCACAAUAAUAAGCUAAUGUUCCACAUACAGUCAGUAGCCAAUGAAUGUAUUGCAAUUAAAUUAUAUAUAUUUUUUUAUUCAUGGUAAAGUGCACCAUUUGCAAUGUAAUUUGUCUGAUGGCAUAUCUUAGUGGGCUGAAUAUCCAUAGAACAGCAGUAUGCAGAAGAAUUUAAAUACACUACAUAACCAUAACCAAAGGUAUGUGGACACCUGCUCUUCCAACGUCUCAUUCCAAAAUCAUGGGCAUUAAUAUGGAGUUGGACCCCCUUUGCUGCUGUCACAGCCUCCACUCUUCUAGGAAGGCUUUCCACCAGAUGUUGGAACAUUGCUGCGGGGACCUGCUUCCAUUCAGCUACAAGCAUUGGUUAGGUCGGGCACUGAUAUUGGACGAUUAUGCCUAGCUUGCAGUCGGCAUUCCAAUUAAUCUGAAACGUGUUCGAUGGGGUUGAGGUCAGGGCUCUGUGCAGGCCAGUCAAGUUCUUCCACACAGAUCUCGACAAACCAUUUCUGUAUGGACCUCGUUUUGUGCACGGGGGCAUUGCCAUGCUGAAACAGGAAAGGGCCAAACUUUUGCCACAAAGUUGGAAGCACAGAAUCAUCUAGAAUUUCAUUGUAUGCUUUAGCAUUAAGAUUUCCCAUCACUGGAACUAAUGGGCCUAGCUGGGAACCAUGACAAACAGCCCCAGACCAUUAUUCCUCCUCCACCAAACUUUACAGUUGGCAAUAUGCAUUGGGGCAGUUAGCGUUCUCCUGGCUUCCGCCAAACACAGAUUUGUCCAUUGGACUGCCAGAUGGUGAAGCGUGAUUCAUCACUCCAGAGAAUGCGUUUCCACUGCUCCAGAGUCCAAUGGUGGCGAGCUUUACCCCUCUCCAGCCCACGUUUGGCAUUGUGCAUGUGUCUCCACGGCCAUGGAAACACAUUUCAUGAAGCUCCCGGUGAACAGUUAUUGUGCUGACCUUGCUUCCAGAGGCAGUUUGGAACUCUGUAGUGAGUGUGGCAAUCGAGGCCAGACGUUUUUUACGUCCUACAUGCGUCCGCACUCAGCGGUCCCGUUCUGUGAGCUUGUGUGGCCUACCACUUCGCGGCUGAGCCGUUGGUGCUCCUAGACGUUUCCACUUCACAUUAACAGCACUUACAGUUGACCGGGGCAGCUCUAGCAGGGGAGACAUUUUAUGAACUGACUUGUUGGAAAGGUGGCUUCCUACGAUGGUAUCAUGUUGAAAGUCAGAGCUCGUCAGUCAGGCCAUUCUACUGCCAAUGUUUGUCUAUGGCGAUAGCGUGGCUGUAUGCUUGAUUUUAUACACCUGUCAGCAACGGGUGUGGCUGAAAUAGCCAAAUCCACUAAGUUGAAGGGGUGUCCACAUACUUUUGGGUGUAUAUAGUGUAGUCUGACUUCACUUCAAAACAUACUACUGUUUUUUUGUUAGUGUGAUGACAUUGAAAUGAUGAGUCCACGUUUCUUGUUUCUAAUUUCCCAUGUUAGUAUAGUAUACCUAGUAAAAAUCAUAGUCUGUUAUCAUCCUCCUCGGCCUCCCAAGAGGAGAAAGAGGAGAAAGAGAUGGUUGCCACAGAAGGACUCCUCUUCAACACUUCUAUUUUCUUCACCUCUUCUUUCCCUCUUCAUCACUUGUCAUCCUGCUUUUUUUGACUUUUUCAUUUGCGCUUUCACUCUCUUCCCCCUGUAGGUAUUCAGUCCAUCUGGUGGACAUCUCCUUCCCCCUGUAGGUAUUCAGUCCAUCUGGUGGACAUCUCCUUCCCCCUGCAGGUAUUCAGUCCAUCUGGUGGACAUCUCCUUCCCCCUGCAGGUAUUCAGUCCAUCUGGUGGACAUCUCCUUCCCCCUGCAGGUAUUCAGUCCAUCUGGUGGACAUCUCCUUCCCCCUGCAGGUAUUCAGUCCAUCUGGUGGACAUCUCCUUCCCCCUGCAGGUAUUCGGUCCAUCUGGUGGACAUCUCCUUCCCCCUGCAGGUAUUCGGUCCAUCUGGUGGACAUCUCCUUCCCCCUGCAGGUAUUCGGUCCAUCUGGUGGACAUCUCCUUCCCCCUGCAGGUAUUCGGUCCAUCUGGUGGACAUCUCCUUCCCCCUGCAGGUAUUCGGUCCAUCUGGUGGACAUCUCCUUCCCCCUGCAGGUAUUCGGUCCAUCUGGUGGACAUCUCCUUCCCCCUGCAGGUAUUCGGUCCAUCUGGUGGACAUCUCCUUCCCCCUGCAGGUAUUCAGUCCAUCUGGUGGACAUCUCCUUCCCCCUGCAGGUAUUCAGUCCAUCUGGUGGACAUCUCCUUCCCCCUGCAGGUAUUCAGUCCAUCUGGUGGACAUCUCCUUCCCCCUGCAGGUAUUCGGUCCAUCUGGUGGACAUCUCCUUCCCCCUGCAGGUAUUCGGUCCAUCUGGUGGACAUCUCCUUCCCCCUGCAGGUAUUCGGUCCAUCUGGUGGACAUCUCCUUCCCCCUGCAGGUAUUCGGUCCAUCUGGUGGACAUCUCCUUCCCCCUGCAGGUAUUCGGUCCAUCUGGUGGACAUCUCCUUCCCCCUGCAGGUAUUCGGUCCAUCUGGUGGACAUCUCCUUCCCCCUGCAGGUAUUCGGUCCAUCUGGUGGACAUCUCCUUCCCCCUGCAGGUAUUCGGUCCAUCUGGUGGACAUCUCCUUCCCCCUGCAGGUAUUCGGUCCAUCUGGUGGACAUCUCCUUCCCCCUGCAGGUAUUCGGUCCAUCUGGUGGACAUCUCCUUCCCCCUGCAGGUAUUCGGUCCAUCUGGUGGACAUCUCCUUCCCCCUGCAGGUAUUCGGUCCAUCUGGUGGACAUCUCCUUCCCCCUGCAGGUAUUCGGUCCAUCUGGUGGACAUCUCCUUCCCCCUGCAGGUAUUCGGUCCAUCUGGUGGACAUCUCCUUCCCCCUGCAGGUAUUCGGUCCAUCUGGUGGACAUCUCCUUCCCCCUGCAGGUAUUCGGUCCAUCUGGUGGACAUCUCCUUCCCCCUGCAGGUAUUCGGUCCAUCUGGUGGACAUCUCCUUCCCCCUGCAGGUAUUCAGUCCAUCUGGUGGACAUCUCCUUCCCCCUGCAGGUAUUCAGUCCAUCU